rnacentral:lncRNA from 1 species
AUGCGGGGGUCCAUUUGCCGACUGACUGACAGAUCUUCUUUCUUUCUUUCAUUCUACGAUUCAGCAAGUCAGCCAGCAAGCAAGCAGAUUGAAGAAUGGGGGAGAAGAAGAAAAGUGCCACAGUGCUUAUAAGGCUCGUGUCAGCAGCAGGGACCGGUUUUUUCUACGUGAAGAAGAAGAAUCCGAGGAAGAUACAAACGAAGCUUGAGUUCAGAAAGUAUGAUCCGCGCGUCAAUCGUCAUGUUCUAUUCACCGAGGCCAAGAUGAAAUGAUUUCAGCCAGGUUUUACGAUGGUAAUCAUUCGGUGAUUACUGUUAUGUCUUGUUGAUUUUGUUGAACAUGAAUUAGCUCUAGUUUUCUAUGAUCAUAACUUAUGUUUUGGCCAUGGUCUGGUUUUAUGCAUGGAAGAAACUGAAAUAAUAAUCCUACUAGUAAAUUUUAAUGCUUAAACCCUUGUUUUACAUUGUAGUUGUUUAUUAGAUAGAUAUAGUCAUAGCGAAGGUUAAUGGGGCGUGUUCACGGGAUGAUAGAUUUUACAUGAACCUAAACACGACUCGACCUAAUUUUUUUGUGUGUA